UCAGCAGCCGUCACCUUCUCCUUUCGCACUAGAGCUCUGCUAGGGUUCCUCCCCAAGUCUCUCGAGCUAGCUCCGAGUCAGUUUCUACUCCACCUCCUUAGUGCGUACUAGAGCUGCUGUGCUCCUUGGUUACGCGUCGAACGUCCUGUACGAACCCAUUUCCAGAUGGGCGAGGUUCUCGUGGUCAACAAGGGAAUGGCGAUUCCGCUACUUAGCCAUCUGGGCUGGAUCUCAUACUUCUUUCCUUCAUGCUUUCUUUAGGGUUGUGGCCCCGGUAUUCGUGGUUAUUAGAUUGUAAACUUUUAGAUGAACCGUUAUCCUGCUUGUUGGCAUCGUGGUGUGCCUAGUUUUGUAGGGGUGAUG